UCCCCUCGUCGUCCUCGAUCUCCUUCGCGUGUCUCCCUCUUCGCUGUGGGCAGCAACAGCAAAUCGCAGUGAGGAAGCGGGCGAAAUCUGACCGCGUUCAACUCAUUCUUGGAUUCUCGGGGGGACCCACCUGGUCCCCUGGUUCCAUAUGUCGCGCCCGGUGAAGUUCAAACCGCUAUUUUUCGAUUCUCUGGACGCGCCACAUCCUUUCCAACGAAGACAAAGAGACACUCGGAUAGCGCGCGCGACCAGCAGGAGAGAGCGGUAACUGCCCUGCUAGCUCCUGCUCACGUAGGAGUGGGGAAAAGAA
rnacentral:sRNA from 2 species